rnacentral:rRNA from 1 species
AGAGUUUGAUCAUGGCUCAGGAUGAACGCUGGCGGCGUGCUUAACACAUGCAAGUCGAACGAUGAAGCCCAGCUUGCUGGGUGGAUUAGUGGCGAACGGGUGAGUAACACGUGAGCAACCUGCCCCUGACUCUGGGAUAAGCGCUGGAAACGGCGUCUAAUACUGGAUAUGUCCCGUCACCGCAUGGUGUGCGGGUGGAAAGAUUUUUCGGUUGGGGAUGGGCUCGCGGCCUAUCAGCUUGUUGGUGAGGUAAUGGCUCACCAAGGCGUCGACGGGUAGCCGGCCUGAGAGGGUGACCGGCCACACUGGGACUGAGACACGGCCCAGACUCCUACGGGAGGCAGCAGUGGGGAAUAUUGCACAAUGGGCGGAAGCCUGAUGCAGCAACGCCGCGUGAGGGAUGACGGCCUUCGGGUUGUAAACCUCUUUUAGCAGGGAAGAAGCGAGAGUGACGGUACCUGCAGAAAAAGCACCGGCUAACUACGUGCCAGCAGCCGCGGUAAUACGUAGGGUGCAAGCGUUAUCCGGAAUUAUUGGGCGUAAAGAGCUCGUAGGCGGUCUGUCGCGUCUGCUGUGAAAUCCCGAGGCUCAACCUCGGGCUUGCAGUGGGUACGGGCAGACUAGAGUGCGGUAGGGGAGAUUGGAAUUCCUGGUGUAGCGG